AUGGAUGCAUUUGAGUUGAUUGAUGGAUAUAAAUCGGGCUUUGGACUAUACUCUGUUGAUAGGAAUGAUCCAGAGUUGAGAAGAUACCCAAAGCUCUCCGCAAAAUGGUAUAAGCAAUUUUUGAAUGGCUCAAGAACCUCUCUAGUUGGUGAUAUUAAACUCAAGGAAGAUUCAUCACUUGCUUCUCUUGGACAUUCAUUUCAGUAG